GAUGAACGCUGGCUACAGGCUUAACACAUGCAAGUCGAGGGGAAACGACGGGGAAGCUUGCUUCCCCGGGCGUCGACCGGCGCAUGGGUGAGUAACGCGUAUCCAACCUGCCUCUGACUGAGGGAUAACCCGUCGGAAGUCGGCCUAAUACCUCAUGGCAUCGUCUGCGGGCAUCCAACGACGAUUAAAGAUUUCAUCGGUCAGAGAUGGGGAUGCGUCUGAUUAGCUUGUUGGCGGGGUAACGGCCCACCAAGGCGACGAUCAGUAGGGGUUCUGAGAGGAAGGUCCCCCACAUUGGAACUGAGACACGGUCCAAACUCCUACGGGAGGCAGCAGUGAGGAAUAUUGGUCAAUGGGCGAGAGCCUGAACCAGCCAAGUAGCGUGCAGGAUGACGGCCCUAUGGGUUGUAAACUGCUUUUAUGCGGGGAUAAAGUGAGGGACGUGUCCUUCAUUGCAGGUACCGCAUGAAUAAGGACCGGCUAAUUCCGUG
rnacentral:rRNA from 1 species